CAGGGAGACAACAAAAUGUUUAAUAUUAUUAUUUUGUCACCUUAGGUCGAUCGGUAUCUCACGUUCUUAAUUUAUUAAGAAUUUCAUUUCCUAAGUUUUUCUAGGUCACACCCAUUAUUUUUCCUGGGCCAUUAGCUCAGGUGGUUAGAGCGCACCCCUGAUAAGGGUGAGGUCCCUGGUUCAAGUCCAGGAUGGCCCAUAUCUCUAUGUUGGGGGUAUAGCUCAGUUGGUAGAGCGCCUGCUUUGCAAGCAGGAUGUCAGCGGUUCGAGUCCGCUUACCUCCACUGAUUACCACCUCUUCCAUAACCGGUAGUAAGGAAAUUUUUUGAGUUGUGAUCAAAUUCUGAAAGAAUCUAGCUUCCUAAUGAAAUCAUUAAGAUGCUGGACUCAUUGAAUUAAUUUCAUUGUUUUCAGAGAACCUUGACAACUGCAUAGAUUAUUUUUAAAGACAAUAAGCAUCUUUAAUGAUGCAGAUUUAUUAUUUGUGCGAAUGCAUUAAUAACAAUUCUAUUAAGCUGAUGCUUCAAUUUUUGAAGUUAUU
rnacentral:tRNA from 1 species